GAAUCGACUAAUUCUUUGAAAAAUUUGUUCAACAAUUUGAAAAUGAAAUUCACCUCGUGACUCAGGUGGUGGUUCUGCAUCACUAGCGCCACAAAAGUUACCUACCGAAGAGGCGAGUGCACUGCCAGUUGCCACCUACAACCUACAUUUCUUAUCAGUUGCAACUGGUUAUCUUUCCCUCACGUGAAUGAAAAUUGAAAAUUUUGGUUACCGGCAUCGAUCUCUCUGAAACGUGAAAUGUGAAUUACUUUGCAAGAAAUUUAGAACUAUUAUAUUAUCGUAUUCGUAGAGUUUGAAUUUAUCAAGUUUCAAGUGGUUGUAGAGUGAUCCGAAGUCAUGCUCAGACCUUUCUCGUUACCGAAGUUCCUGCGAGCCCAACGCGAAAAACGACCUCUAGUUCUCGAACCUAUGUACGAUUUCACGUUCAAGAAGUUGUUCGAUCCAACGAAAAACAAGCCUGUUCUUCGAAAUUUUCUCAACAGCAUGUUAUCCGGGUUAACCCUGACGAACGGUGACAAAAUAGAAAAUGUCGAACUACUGGAUUCUAUUCCUGAUUUUCUCAAAGAUGCUGAUGGACGAGUAAAACAGGAUGUUAUAACCGAUGUAUUAUGCAAGUCUACGAAUGGCGAACAGUUCAUCGUGAAUUUGAGUAUGCAGCAACAGCACCACCCGCAUUUUUUGACCCAUUUGGUGUGGCAUGGAUUUCACAUUUAUGGAAAGCAAAUCAGUGAAGAAAAAUUAUAUUCUUCGCCUCGAGGCUUUGAGUUAUUAAAACCAGUCGCCAUGUUGGCAAUCUGCAAUUUCUCAGUGUCCGGUUUAACGAAGAAGGAUUAUAUAACAAGAUGUGAAUUCAAAACAGGAGAGAACCUGGAACUAAUAACACCUUGGUCAAAACUGUUAUCAUAUGUGUUUGUUGAACUGCCCAGAUUUUCAAUUACCAACCUCGAUGAAAUUAAGACUGACGCUGAUAAAUGGAGUUUCUUUCUCAAGUACGCUGCAGAUGAAGAUCAAAAGUCAGCGAUUCAACAACUCGUAAAUAGUGAUGCGGAUUUUAAAAAAGCCUACGAAGUACAUAUUGCACGCUGAUAAUUGGUCUUUGGCUGAAUUGGCUCAGUUUGCCGGGGUUACCACUGAUGAAGAUCUCAUCGAAACUAUUCGUCGCGAAGAGAAACAAUACAUUGCCGAGAACCUGUUACGAAAUAUUGACUAAUUUGGAAAUGAACGAAGUCGGAGAGUUGCGAAAACAAGUCGAGGAUGAAAAAGAUCAUCCUGUAUAGUUCAUAUUUUUAUCUUUGUGUUCAUGCUCAGUUUUUUGAAAUGUUUUUUUUUUACCAAAUUAUUCAUAAUGAACAGAUUGCUUCCUUUUUUGUUCCUACGUAAAGAUGAAGUACCUAUAAAAUUAAUUUUUGUUAUCUAUUGAGAAUAAAUCGUGAUGUUUAGCAGUACAAUAAAAGUCUGGUGAAAUUGAAA